rnacentral:rRNA from 1 species
AGUGAACGCUGGCGGUAGGCCUAACACAUGCAAGUCGAACGGCAGCACAGGAGAGCUUGCUCUCUGGGUGGCGAGUGGCGGACGGGUGAGGAAUACAUCGGAAUCUACCUUUUCGUGGGGGAUAACGUAGGGAAACUUACGCUAAUACCGCAUACGACCUUCGGGUGAAAGCAGGGGACCUUCGGGCCUUGCGCGGAUAGAUGAGCCGAUGUCGGAUUAGCUAGUUGGCGGGGUAAAGGCCCACCAAGGCGGCGAUCCGUAGCUGGUCUGGGAGGAUGAUCGGCCACACUGGAACUGGGACACGGUCCAGACUCCUACGGGAGGCAGCAGUGGGGAAUAUUGGACAAUGGGCGCAAGCCUGAUCCAGCCAUACCGCGUGGGUGAAGAAGGCCUUCGGGUUGUAAAGCCCUUUUGUUGGGAAAGAAAAGCAGCCAGUUAAUACCUGGUUGUUCUGACGGUACCCAAAGAAUAAGCACCGGCUAACUUCGUGCCAGCAGCAGCCGCCG